rnacentral:tRNA from 5 species
GCCCGCAUAGCUCAGUUGGCAGAGCAGCUGAUUUGUAAUCAGCAGGUCGGUGGUUCGAAUCCACUUGCGGGCUCCA